rnacentral:misc_RNA from 1 species
AACGCACAUUGCGCCCUUUGGCAUUCCGAAGGGCAUGCCUGUUCGAGCGUCAUGAUAAAAUCUCAAGCCUUGCUUGGUAUUGGGUUUUCGUCUCACUUGUCUCUAUACAGGUAAUGACGUGCCUGAAAAUCAAUGGCAGUGCCUCAAUAGACUCAAGCGUAGCAGACUGACUCGCUUUGGAGAAACUGUUGUGGGUCCUGCAAUAAAAAUAUUAAGUUGGACCUCGGAUCAGGUAGGGAUACCCGCUGAACUUAA